rnacentral:tRNA from 1 species
GGGCCCGUAGCUCAGCUUGGUUAGAGAAGCUAAGCGUUUAGCUGCCUUCGACUAUAGCGCCGCUCUGAUAAGGCGGAGGUCCUGUGUUCAAGUCACAGCGGGCCCA